GACGAACGCUGGCGGCGUGCUUAACACAUGCAAGUCGAACGGAAAGGCCCUGCUUUUGUGGGGUGCUCGAGUGGCGAACGGGUGAGUAACACGUGAGUAACCUGCCCUUGACUUUGGGAUAACUUCAGGAAACUGGGGCUAAUACCGGAUAGGAGCUCCUGCUGCAUGGUGGGGGUUGGAAAGUUUCGGCGGUUGGGGAUGGACUCGCGGCUUAUCAGCUUGUUGGUGGGGUAGUGGCUUACCAAGGCUUUGACGGGUAGCCGGCCUGAGAGGGUGACCGGCCACAUUGGGACUGAGAUACGGCCCAGACUCCUACGGGAGGCAGCAGUGGGGAAUAUUGCACAAUGGGCGGAAGCCUGAUGCAGCAACGCCGCGUGCGGGAUGACGGCCUUCGGGUUGUAAACCGCUUUCGCCUGUGACGAAGCGUGAGUGACGGUAAUGGGUAAAGAAGCACCGGCUAACUACGUGCCAGCAGCCGCGGUGAUACGUAGGGUGCGAGCGUUGUCCGGAUUUAUUGGGCGUAAAGGGCUCGUAGGUGGUUGAUCGCGUCGGAAGUGUAAUCUUGGGGCUUAACCCUGAGCGUGCUUUCUAUACGGGUUGACUUGAGGAAGGUAGGGGAGAAUGGAAUUCCUGGUGGAGCGGUGGAAUGCGCAGAUAUCAGGAGGAACACCAGUGGCGAAGGCGGUUCUCUGGGCCUUUCCUGACGCUGAGGAGCGAAAGCGUGGGGAGCGAACAGGCUUAGAUACCCUGGUAGUCCACGCUGUAAACGGUGGGUACUAGGUGUGGGGUCCAUUCCACGGGUUCCGUGCCGUAGCUAACGCUUUAAGUACCCCGCCUGGGGAGUACGGCCGCAAGGCUAAAACUCAAAGGAAUUGACGGGGCCCCGCACAAGCGGCGGAGCAUGCGGAUUAAUUCGAUGCAACGCGUAGAACCUUACCUGGGUUUGACAUGGAUCGGGAGUGCUCAGAGAUGGGUGUGCCUCUUUUGGGGUCGGUUCACAGGUGGUGCAUGGCUGUCGUCAGCUCGUGUCGUGAGAUGUUGGGUUAAGUCCCGCAACGAGCGCAACCCUUGUUCACUGUUGCCAGCACGUUAUGGUGGGGACUCAGUGGAGACCGCCGGGGUCAACUCGGAGGAAGGUGGGGAUGACGUCAAGUCAUCAUGCCCCUUAUGUCCAGGGCUUCACGCAUGCUACAAUGGCUGGUACAGAGAGUGGCGAGCCUGUGAGGGUGAGCGAAUCUCGGAAAGCCGGUCUCAGUUCGGAUUGGGGUCUGCAACUCGACCUCAUGAAGUCGGAGUCGCUAGUAAUCGCAGAUCAGCAACGCUGCGGUGAAUACGUUCCCGGG
rnacentral:rRNA from 1 species